UUUUUUUUUUUUUUUUUUUUUAAUCAGAGGUGUAAUAGCAAAUCAAGCGCUUUACCAGCUCAGUUUAUUUUUAAAGAUUGUGUAAAAAUUAAUCAAUAUUCUCCAGGUGCAGGUGGCUGGAAAAAAAAAAUUAACUAACAACUAGCAAGAAAACCCCAGAUUUUGGUGAGAUCUACGCAGUCAGAGUUCUCAUGGAUUUGAAAUAAUUUAAGCCCUAUUGGUUUUUAGAAGGGAACUCAUUUUACCACCUAUUCCAGGUGUUCAGCAUUCCUACAAUGAACAUAACACAGAAGUGGACACUCACUGUGGGAAUAAAGUUAGUACCCUAAAAAUUCCUUUUUCUUUGACACACAAAUUCCCAUCCUGAACACUAGUCUACAGCCAGACACAGGAACAAUGAGGGAGCCCCGAGUAUUCCAUGGGAACCAGAGCUGCCAUUCCAAAUUAAUUGCUUGGCUCACCUGACCCAUGAAACAAGACUUCCCUCACUAAAAGGUGUGAAGGAGGACACUCCUCUCCCUUGCCACUGCUGAGUGACUUUAAAGGGUCCAUCCAGGGCCUGCCACAACCCUGAUGGAGUUCUCAAGCCCUGGUGAAUGUGAGUGAGUGGGAUGAGGAAAAAAAGGAUUCCUGCCAAAUCACUGGAGCAUCCAAACUGCACAGGCAUGGUGUAAGUGUACGACAUUAUCAACAGUGUCUGACAGAAUAGGAACUGAAAAAAAAAAAAAAACCAUUCAAAAUAGGUACAAAAUAACAUUUAGACCCCAGCUACUUUGCUCUAAGCCACGAGUUGGUGGCUUGCUACACACUCCACAAUGGAACAACUCUGUCUGAAACAGGCUUUUGUAUCAAUGUUUUUGUAUGUCUUCUGCCACUUUAUUUUUGCUACACACAACCUACACAUAUGUGAUUCUAGUCCCAGCACUUUGUUGACAAAACCCAAAAGAACAUAUGGACCUGUCUAGAUAUUGGAGGUAUCCAGAAACAGUAUACAGAUAUCCAUACUCAAGCCUGAAAAAAAUAAAGAUGGGGGUGGCGGGGGAAAACCUGCCCUGACAGCAGGCAAUCUGGAGUCUAGUGACUGCUUCAUUUGCAUGUUCUUUGUUGCUAAAAUCAGGCUACAGCUUCAACUGAAAAAUUUUCUUCAUUUCUCAUCAGAAACAUCAUGCCAAAAACCAUUAGAAAGUGGAAGGUGGGUAAAAGAAUGGGCUGGGCACAGAUUAAGAUGAAGACUUAAGUAACAAAAAGAGCAAUCAAUCUUGGCAUGGGAAACUCUCCAACAGUAAUUUGGUAUCAGUUAUAUUACUUCCAUUAAUUUUUCACAGAUGUAAAAAGUUGUACAACUAUAAACUGCAAGAAGAUUUCACAAACGGUGAGGAUUUUGUCUGUGACCUGUUAUAACCCAGAGAGAACAUGCAACGGGAUUUGUAUUUUUCUACUGAGUAGCUAUUUUCAGAGGCAAAAAGCCAAACACUUGCAUAACUCAAUGUGACCAUUCUGUGUAUCUGUGGCAUUUGUUACUGGAGAACACUUUGAUCAACAAUGUUGAGCUGGUAAAAGCACAAGGUAUGCCUAGAGAGAGCAGCCAGUUUAAAUAUUAUAAAAAUUAGAGUAAAUAGGAUCUCAGUCCUUCCCCUUUUUUAGUAAAUUGAGUAAUUCUCCGAGCAUGUGAAAAAAUAAUAAAAAACUUCUCUUCUGCCAAAGAACAGGCCAACGGUCUAGACUUUCUCUUAACUGGAAAUCAUCUAGAUUAAGAAACUCUGAAUAAACGCCUGACAGGCAAUUUCACUGUUUUAUGCAAUCAAAUACACUCUACUUAUUUGUGAAAUCCUACAAGAAAUAUUACAGCAUUUGAAUCGAGACCAAGGCUGGGAAAGACCUGCAUUUCUUACCAUUCUCCUGCUGCUGAUGUUAGGAUUCUUUGCAACCACGCAUUUUACUAUUGUAGCUUAGACUACAGUGACAAUUCAGCCAGCAUCAGGUCAGCUUUCAGCUUUGUUUGCAGACAUUUGAUGUGUUUGUAGGAAGAUACAUGUCUCUGUGUUUGUGUUUUUGUGCCUGUGUAUAAACUAUAAUUUGAUUACGAAUAAAUGUUGCACAGUUUAGUAGAAUCAGGCCAGGUCUGGGAGCCAGGAAUGAUCAGUGAAGUCAUUGCAAAGUUAUGAAGGCCAAAAUUCCCUGUAUCAUCCUCUGGUUUUAGUCACUUUCAAUGCUGUCAGUCUGAUUUUUUUGAUGAAGAGGGGAUAAACAACUCCUGCUGACAUGAGUUAGCAAGAGCUCAGUUCCUCCAUGCUCUUAACUGGGUUGCCUCGCCUUGAAGGGCUCACUGUCAAGUGUAGUUGCUUUUAUCAUCUGUCUUCGCAGGAUGUCACGCAUCCUUAAGAUUCCUUAUGAUCUCUUCUUCAAAUUUUAGUGACCCUACAGAGCUAAUGACAUGUUUAGUUCCCCCAUCCAAGCACAACCACAUGGAUGAGAUGAUAUCAGGA
ensembl:lncRNA